rnacentral:misc_RNA from 1 species
GAUGAAGAACGUAGCGAAAUGCGAUAAGUAAUGUGAAUUGCAGAAUUCAGUGAAUCAUCGAAUCUUUGAACGCACAUUGCGCCCGCCAGCACUCUGGCGGGCAUGCCUGUUCGAGCGUCAUUUCAACCAUCAAGCCCCCAGGGGCUUGUGCUGGGGCCCUGCGGCUGCCCGCAGGCCCUGAAAACCAGUGGCGGGCUUGCUAGUCACACCGAGCGCAGUAGCACAUCUCGCUCAGGGCGUGCGGCGGGCUCCUGCCGUGAAACCCCCCACUGUAACCCCAAAGGUUGACCUCGGAUCAGGUAGGAAUACCCGCUGAACUUAAGCAUAUCAAUAAGCGGAGGA